UCAACGACCCUUUUAAGGGCCACCAACAUCUUUCAAAAAGAGUUUU
rnacentral:ncRNA from 1 species